rnacentral:rRNA from 1 species
AUGAACGCUAGCGGCAGGCCUAAUACAUGCAAGUCGAGGGGCAGCACGGGUAGCAAUAUCUGGUGGCGACCGGCGCACGGGUGCGUAACACGUAUACAAUCUGCCUUUUACAGGAGGAUAGCCUUUCGAAAGAGAGAUUAGUACCCCAUAAUACAUGAAAUAGCAUUAUUUUAUGUUGAAAGCUCCGGCGGUAAAAGAUGAGUAUGCGUCCUAUUAGCUAGUUGGUAGUGUAACGGACUACCAAGGCUACGAUAGGUAGGGGAUCUGAGAGGACUACCCCCCUCACUGGUACUGAGACACGGACCAGACUCCUACGGGAGGCAGCAGUAAGGAAUAUUGGUCACUGGGGGCAACCCUGAACCAGCCAUGCCGCGUGCAGGAAGAAGGCCCUAUGGGUCGUAAACUGCUUUUAUACGGGAGAAAACCUGGGUACGUGUACCCAGUUGAUAGUACUGUAAGAAUAAGGAUCGGCUAACUUCGU